CAGUCGCUGGCAGUCAGGUGGGGAGCACCUGUGCGCCCCUCGGACCUGACCCUUUCAGCACUCUGCUCCCGCUCCAGCCUACCUCGCUCUUCAGCACCAUGACCACCACCACCACCUUCAAGGGAGUCGAUCCCAACAGCAGGAAUAGCUCCCGGGUUUUGGGGCCUCCAGGCGGUGGAUCCAAUUUUUCAUUAGGCUUUGAUGAACCAGCAGAACAGCCUGUGAGGAGACACAAAACGGCAUCUAGCAUCUUUGGGACACCUGAGGAAAAUCCUCCUUCAUGGGCCAAGUCAGCAGGUGCCAACUCUAGUGGUGGCAGAGAAGAUUCUGAGUCAUCUGGACCCCAGAGAAGGAACUCUUCUGAAGCAAAUGCUGGAGACUUCUUAGAUCUGAAGGGAGAAGGUGACAUUCAUGAAAACGUGGACACAGACUUGCAGGCCAGCCUGGGGCAGAGUGAGGAGAAGCCCGUGCCCGCUGCCCCUGUGCCCAGCCCAGUGGCUCCAGCCCCGGUGCCAUCCUGAAGAAACCCCCCUGGUGGCAAGUCCAGCCUCAUCCUGGGUUAGCUCCAAUUCUCUUGAACUCUGUCGUUUUGUUUGUUUGUUUUCUCCAUGCUUGUGAACUGCACAACUUGAGCCUGACUAUACAACUUUUGGAU